AGCCCAUUCAACAAAGUACAGAUGGGUUGAUUAUUCGAAGCUUUUCAGUGGUCCCCCUUUAUUCACGUAGACACUAAUUACACUGGAUUGUCAUGCAAUGACCUGCACUCAUUCUCUGGAAGCAGUACAUUGUAUUCGGCACACGCCAACACCGCAGAACUGCUUCUCUAUCUCUCCUCGGUUAAAACAGUCAAGCUACUCUUUGCAAAGUACAAACGAUUUUAUAGAUCGGGCUCUUGCGAAGGUGACUUGGAUAUAUUUUGGCAUUAAAAUUUAAUAGUAUCUGCAGCAGAUUUUUCUUCCCCCAUCUUUUUUUUUUCCAAUGGGUUGUGCUUAUAAGGAGAUCCGUUUACUGAAAAGUGGGAGGAGAAUGACAGACAAAAUCUCCCCUGUAUUUUUUUUUUCCUUAAGACCUAAGCCUCAGCACAAAGGAAAGAUCUGUGUAUUUCGCCAGACAUCACACGGUUGGCUGCUGCACCUACUGUCAAAGUGAGAAGAUUUGCCAAGAUCAGAAUUCCCUCCAGAGUAUUUCUAUUUUAAUUUACACUGAUGGAAAGGUUGUCUGAAAUAAGUAACAUGGCCCAGUUACACAGAGCUGAUCGCUUUCCCAACAAAUUAAUACAUGUCUUCCUGCUGAUAAUUUGCCUUCUGGACUUUUCUGAAGGAUGAUCCAAGGAAUCCCUAUGUGAAAUGAAUAAAGCAGUGGCAGAUAAAUGUUCGAAUCAAAAGUAGAAAGAACAUGAACAGCACUGAAGCAGAAUGAUAAAGGUAUUUGCCUCAGAAAUGCGAGUUACCAAUGCUGUCAAGACACAAGAUGGGUGCCUCCCCUUGUUAAUUUGCAGGCCAGAGAAGGAAGAAAGUAGGUGUGCAUCCUCCAUUUUAUGAUCCAUUUUUGCAAUUAGCAUUUUCUAUUAUUCCUUAACUUUCAUCUAUGCACUACAAAUGUUUCCAAGGAUAAUUUUGAUAAUUGAGUAAGCUCACAGUGUAGAUCCAGAUUUAUGAAUAGAUGCAUCACAUUAUGAUGCUAAGAAACAGACUGUUAGAUUUCUUACAAGGUUAGUGAUGAUUCAGAAGGAAAAUUUUCUUUCUGGCAUGAAGCAUUUGUUUUGUCAGUUGCAUCAUGCCCCAACGUGUUAAUCAUUUAAGUCAUAAUUAUUUACCUGAUGGCAACAAUGCGGCAAAUUUGGUACACUAUGAUUACUCUAUACUUACUAACGGAAACAUGCCAUUGAUUUCUCUGAAUGCUUUGUCUUUACAAUACAAGGGAACAAUGGAUUAACUAAUACAUGGCUUCAAUUAGGCUUUACAAAUUUUGGUCUGCAAGAUUUAAUUUGUCAGCAAAAAUCUGGGACAGCUCAAGAGCAAUAUAAUUAUUCUUUGUUAUUGAUCCAGAAACAGAUUAAUAAAAAAUGAAAUAUUUUUUUUCUGUUGAUAAAUAUAGAGUACCAC